AGUGUUCCCAACCCAUAAAUAGUGUCAGCAGUUCUCCCUGCCCCGUCCCCACCUAGUUUAGACUCUGUACUUCAGGUGGUGUGCACAGGGGAAGCGUGCUCUCAUCCUGUAUUUUAUAACCCCGCUGCAAGCAGUGAGGCCAAAGCAAGGAGCAGCAGCGACUCAGACACAUCUCACGAAUUCCACAAGUGCAGGCAGCCAAAAGGGAUGGGCCUGGGCCUCAGGAAAAGGACCAGUCAGGAAAAUCCAGCUCCCUUGGAUGCCGACCCUGAGAGGGAGGGGAACAGAGGGGCACCAGGGAGCUUGGACGAGGCAGGAAGCCAAACAGCGCAGCGCCUCCCCUCAGCACACAGCCUGACAGACACCCAGCCGAGAAACCAAACCACCCGACCACAGACAGCAGGCCAGGCCUCCAGCCAGCACAUUAGGGUUGUUUUGUUUUUUAAUAAAAGCGUCUCUGCUGAAA